rnacentral:rRNA from 1 species
GGGUGUAGUGUACCUACUAGCCUACGACGGUACGGGUUGUGAGAGCAAGAGCCGGAGAUGGAUUCUGAGACACGAAUCCAGGCCCUACGGGGUGCAGCAGGCGCGAAAACUUUACAAUGCUGGAAACAGCGAUAAGGGAACCUCGAGUGCCAGGUUACAAAUCUGGCUGUCGUGAUGCCUAAAAAGCAUUGCAUAGCAAGGGCCGGGCAAGACCGGUGCCAGCCGCCGCGGUAACACCGGCGGCUCGAGUGGUAACCGUUAUUAUUGGGUCUAAAAGGGUCUGUAGCCGGCCGGAUAAGUCUCUUGAGAAAUCUGGCAGCUUAACUGUCAGGCUUUCAGGAGAUACUGUCUGGCUCGAGGCCGGGAGAGGUGAGAGGUACUUCAGGGGGUAGGGGGUGAAAUCUUGUAAUCCUUGAAGGACCACCAGUGGCGAAGGC